CUUUGACAUCAUCCCAACUGCAAGAUGACACAUUUAUAGAUAAAAGCAUUGGGUUUGGGGCUUUGUGUAGCAGCAGACAAAGGCUAAUGUUAGUAAUUCUAAUGAAAAAGAAGCUUUCUGAUUUGUGGCCCAGAUCUGACUGAGAAUCCUUACAACAAAUGUCAGGGAUGGAUCACAAAGAGGACCGGUUCCUCCCCUGGGAUGCCAUUCCCACCAGCCAACAAAGAAAUUAUUGCCUUCAAAGGCCACUCAAAGCCUUCUCUCCCAAUCACUCUGACCCCCAAGGACCCUUCUGUCCCUGGACUCCUAGAGCAUUCAGUUGGAACCAAUUUUUAAUGUUGUAAUAUUCUGUAUUUCAGCAUUGUGUGCUUCCUGGGCACUCCUCCUCUGUCUCCUGAAUUGAACUCUGGGCUCUUUGAGAACAGAAAACACAUUAAUAUUUAUUGUAUAAUCCUCACAGUGCACAACACAGCUCUUGACACAGGAUAACUGCUCAAUAAAUACAUGUGGAUUGAUUAUCACUGGGAGAGGAAAACUCCACACAGCAUUACUUUAUUUGUGACGAGGCAGUCCUCAUAUCCUUGUACAAGGACAAAAUUUUAGUAAUGGCAUACUGAAAAUGAUCUGCAUUCAGUGUCAAACAAUCUGAAAAGGUAGCCUAUCAACAACUUCCUGCACUCAUUCCUUCAGCAUUUGACAUAUCAUUUUGUUUUCCAAGCAGUCAAGCA
rnacentral:lncRNA from 1 species